rnacentral:rRNA from 1 species
UCGGACACACUGGAACUGAGACACGGUCCAGACUCCUACGGGAGUGCAGCAGUAGGGAAUAUUGCUCAAUGGGGGAAACCCUGAAGCAGCAACGCCGCGUGGAGGAUGAAGGUUUUCGGAUUGUAAACUCCUUUUGUUAGAGAAGAUUAUGACGGUAUCUAACGAAUAAGCACCGGCUAACUCCGUGCCAGCAGCCGCGGUAAUACGGAGGGUGCAAGCGUUACUCGGAAUCACUGGGCGUAAAGAGCGCGUAGGCGGGGUAGCAAGUCAGAUGUGAAAUCCUAUGGCUUAACCAUAGAACUGCAUUUGAAACUGUUACUCUAGAGUGUGGGAGAGGUAGG